GCGCCUAUAGCUCAAUUGGCAGAGCACAGAGCUUAUACCUCUGGGGUUCUAGGUUCGAGUCCUAGUGGGCGCACAA
rnacentral:tRNA from 1 species